rnacentral:lncRNA from 1 species
ACUUCCUCUGGGUAGGUUAACAAAUAGAAUUGUUGAAGACAUCCUAAAGGUCAGAUGAAUGGAGGAUGCGGGUCUCCCACUCUCCAGUUGUUGCAGAAGAGGUGUGCUUGGGCCAUGGUGCUCUGCUGGACAUGCUGUGGGACCCCAACUCCCCACACCACACCAAUGCUCCCUUCUUCCAAGCAAAUGCCAAAGCUGACUUAUCAGUGACGGCACAUCCAUACUUCUGGGGAGCUGGGUCGUCUGACUGUAGGAGUUGCCUGUGAAUGCCUGCUGCCCAGAACCUGAAGGUCUUGAGACCAGUGGGAUUUUACACAGGGGGGAAGACACCAUCCAUGUGGGAGGAUACUGAUCCGCAGCACAGUGCCACUGGCUGAGAAAUCCACUCUUUUGCCCUUUGCUAACUUCUACAGUUUAAUGUAAAUGCCAGUUUAAUUGUAUCAACCAAAAAUUUC